rnacentral:rRNA from 1 species
UACGUAGGGGGCAAGCGUUGUCCGGAUUUAUUGGGCGUAAAGAGCUCGUAGGUGGUUCGGUAAGUCGGAUGUGAAAUCUCCAGGCUCAACCUGGAGGGGUCAUUCGAUACUGCCGUGACUAGAGUUCGGUAGGGGAGUGUGGAAUUCCCGGUGUAGCGGUGAAAUGCGCAGAUAUCAGGAAGAACACCCGUGGCGAAAGCGGCUCUCUGGAACGGUACUGACGCUGAGACGCGAAAGCGUGGGGAGCGAACAGG